rnacentral:rRNA from 1 species
UACGUAGGGGGCUAGCGUUGUUCGGAAUCACUGGGCGUAAAGCGCGCGUAGGCGGCUUUGCAAGUGCGGCGUGAAAGUCCUGGGCUCAACCUGGGGACGGCGCUGCGGACUGCAUGGCUGGAGUCCGGAAGAGGGUGGUGGAAUUCCGAGUGUAGAGGUGAAAUGCGCAGAUAUCAGGAAGAACACCCGUGGCGAAGGCGGCUCUCUGGGACGGUACUGGACG